AAAUUGAAGAGUUUGAUCAUGGCUCAGAUUGAACGCUGGCGGCAGGCCUAACACAUGCAAGUCGAACGGUAGCACAGAGAGCUUGCUCUCGGGUGACGAGUGGCGGACGGGUGAGUAAUGUCUGGGAAACUGCCCGAUGGAGGGGGAUAACUACUGGAAACGGUAGCUAAUACCGCAUAACGUCGCAAGACCAAAGUGGGGGACCUUCGGGCCUCACACCAUCGGAUGUGCCCAGAUGGGAUUAGCUAGUAGGUGGGGUAACGGCUCACCUAGGCGACGAUCCCUAGCUGGUC
rnacentral:rRNA from 1 species